UACAGAGGUCUCAAGCGUUGUUCGGAUUUAUUGGGCGUAAAGGGUGCGUAGGCGGCGGAGUAAGUUGGGUGUGAAAUCCCGGGGCUCAACCUCGGAAUUGCAUUCAAUACUGCUUCGCUCGAGUACUGGAGAGGAGGCUGGAAUUUACGGUGUAGCAGUGAAAUGCGUAGAUAUCGUAAGGAACGCCGGUGGCGAAAGCGGCGUGCUGGACCUUUUCUGACGCUGAGGCGCGAAAGCCAGGGGAGCGAACGGG
rnacentral:rRNA from 1 species